rnacentral:rRNA from 1 species
UGGGUGGAUUAGUGGCGAACGGGUGAGUAACACGUGAGUAACCUGCCCCUGACUCUGGGAUAAGCGUUGGAAACGACGUCUAAUACUGGAUAUGACCGCCGAUCGCAUGGUCUGGUGGUGGAAAGAUUUUUUGGUUGGGGAUGGACUCGCGGCCUAUCAGCUUGUUGGUGAGGUAAUGGCUCACCAAGGCGACGACGGGUAGCCGGCCUGAGAGGGUGACCGGCCACACUGGGACUGAGACACGGCCCAGACUCCUACGGGAGGCAGCAGUGGGGAAUAUUGCACAAUGGGCGAAAGCCUGAUGCAGCAACGCCGCGUGAGGGAUGACGGCCUUCGGGUUGUAAACCUCUUUUAGUAGGGAAGAAGCGUAAGUGACGGUACCUGCAGAAAAAGCACCGGCUAACUACGUGCCAGCAGCCGCGGUAAUACGUAGGGUGCAAGCGUUGUCCGGAAUUAUUGGGCGUAAAGAGCUCGUAGGCGGUUUGUCGCGUCUGCUGUGAAAUCCCGAGGCUCAACCUCGGGCUUGCAGUGGGUACGGGCAGACUAGAGUGCGGUAGGGGAGAUUGGAAUUCCUGGUGUAGCGGUGGAAUGCGCAGAUAUCAGGAGGAACACCGAUGGCGAAGGCAGAUCUCUGGGCCGUAACUGACGCUGAGGAGCGAAAGCGUGGGGAGCGAACAGGAUUAGAUACCCUGGUAGUCCACGCCGUAAACGUUGGGCGCUAGAUGUAGGGACCUUUCCACGGUUUCUGUGUCGUAGCUAA